UGUGCCUGUCCCUAAUGGGAUGGUGUGAAAAUUCAUACAGGUGUUGCAUGGCUAUCGUCCGCUCAUGUCGUGAGAUGUUUGGUUAAGUCUUAUAAUGAGAAAACCCUUAUUUUUUGUUGCUGAGACAUGCGCCAAUGGAUCAAUGUCAUCGCCCCUUAUCAUUGAAUUAAUAGGGCAAGGUAUGCGCCUCUUUUUUAUUGACGACACUCCUAUGAAGGAAGGUGCAUGUUGAACUCACAAGAGAUUGCUAGUGAUAUGUUGAAGGAAGGUGGGGAUGAUGUCAAGUCUGCAUGGCCCUUAUGGGUUGGGCCACACACGUGCUACAAUCGAAAUGACAAUGGGAAGCAAGGUCAUAAGGAAGAGUGAAUCGGGAAAGAUUGCCUCAGUUCAAAUUGUUCUCUGCAAAUCGAGAACAUGAAGUUGGAAUCUCUAGUAAUCGCGGAUCAACAUGCCAUGGUGAAUAUGUACCCGAGCCCUGUACACACCGCCCGUCACACCCUGGGAGUUUAUUUCACCUGAAGCAUUAGACCAAUGAUCACCCUAUCUAUAUAUGUUCCACUAGUGUAGCCCAAGAAGGUUGGGGUGAUAUUAUUGGGGCAUACCAUGGUGGGGUCUUGGACUGGGGUGAAGUCAUAACAAUGUAGUCAUAGGGAAACCUGUGGCUAGAUAGAAUCCCUU
rnacentral:ncRNA from 1 species